rnacentral:rRNA from 1 species
AGUGAACGCUGGCGGCAGGCCUAACACAUGCAAGUCGAACGGCAGCACAGGAGAGCUUGCUCUCUGGGUGGCGAGUGGCGGACGGGUGAGGAAUAUAUCGGAAUCUACCCUUUCGUGGGGGAUAACGUAGGGAAACUUACGCUAAUACCGCAUACGAACUGAGGUUGAAAGCGGCGGACCGCAAGGCGUCGCGCGGAUGGAUGAGCCGAUAUCCGAUUAGCUAGUUGGCGGGGUAAAGGCCCACCAAGGCGACGAUAGGUAGCUGGUCUGGGAGGAUGGUCAGCCACACUGGAACUGAGACACGGUCCAGACUCCUACGGGAGGCAGCAGUGGGGAAUAUUGGACAAUGGGCGCAAGCCUGAUCCAGCCAUGCCGCGUGUGUGAAGAAGGCCUUCGGGUUGUAAAGCACUUUUGUUGGGAAAGAAAAGCGGUCGGUUAAUACCCGGUCGUUCUGACGGUACCCAAAGAAUAAGCACCGGCUAACUACGUGCCAGCCGCGCGGUAACAC